CCUACGGGGGGCAGCAGUGGGGAAUAUUGGACAAUGGGCGAAAGCCUGAUCCAGCCACGCCGCGUGUGUGAUGAAGGCCUUCGGGUCGUAAAGCACUGUGGGGAGGGAAGAACGAGCAGUGGGCUAAUAUCCCAUUGCAGUGACGGUACCUCCUUAGCAAGCACCGGCUAACUCCGUUCCAGCAGCCGCGGUAAUACGGAGGGUGCAAACGUUGGUCGGAGGUAUUGGGCGGAAAGCGCAAGUCGGCUGUGAAAGCCCUGGGCUUAACCUAGGAAGUGCGCUCGAAACUGGCAGGCUUGAGUACGGGAGAGGGUCGCGGAAUUCCCGGUGUAGAGGUGAAAUUCGUAGAUAUCGGGAGGAACACCAGUGGCGAAGGCGGCGACCUGGACCGAUACUGACGCUGAGACGCGAAAGCGUGGGUAGCAAACAGGAUUAGAUACCCCGGUAGUC
rnacentral:rRNA from 1 species